GGAUGUGAGGGCGAUCUGGCUGCGACACCUGUCACCCCAUUCAUCGCCAGGGUUGAUUUGGCUGAUCUGGCUGGCUAGGCGAGUGUCCCCUUCCUCCCUCACCACUCCAUGUGUGUCCUUCCCGAAGCUGCCUUCCCCAAAUAGAGACAGACCAGUCUUCGGUUGAGGGUAUUCCAGUAGCUAUGCUCCCCUGCUAGAACCUCCAAACAAGCUCUCAAGGUCCAAAUGAGCUAUUUUGUGGCACAACAAAGUAGCUUGUUUUGUGUUUGUUGUGUUUUAGGCACUUUACAACAUGAA
rnacentral:snRNA from 1 species